UGGACUCCUAAUACCUGAGGGACAGCUUUGCUUAACUGCUGAGAUCAAGUAAUGCACCGAAGAGGUGCCCUCUUCUGAGUGGAAAAUCAAACCUGCUCAGUUGCUUACAAAAAGAAUGUUCAGAUUUGAUUUUAUCAUCAUGUUCAAGCCAGGCCACACAGGAUAUAAGCCCUAAUACAAUCACAGCAGAUAGACAGUUUCCUUCAGCACAUGUGGUAGUCGUUCAUAUUUCUAGAACGAAGAUGCUAGGUUCUAUCUCUGAAUAUGUGCAGUUUAGAUGGAUUAAAUCAAGCUUAUGAUCAAAAGAUGGAAAAGUUUUCAGCAUAGAAAAGUUACCAGGCCCCAGAGAAUUGGAGACACAGUAUUUAAGAGGAUGUCAGCUCGUGAAUCACUUGAAUUCAAAGUUCGGAUGGCUCAUGUGACUGCCAGCGAUCUACACACAGCUUUCCAUCUUUCCCCUAAGAAAUCUGAAUUUCGGCUCUGAUCGUGCAGCUGACAGCAUGCAAGUUGCUGCACCCAUGAAGACCCCC